rnacentral:rRNA from 1 species
UACGUAGGGUGCAAGCGUUGUCCGGAAUUACUGGGCGUAAAGGGUUCGUAGGUGGCUUGCUAAGUCAGACGUGAAAUCCCUCAGCUUAACUGGGGGAACUGCGUCUGAUACUGGCGAGCUUGAGUGCAGGAGAGGAACGCAGAAUUCCAGGUGUAGCGGUGAAAUGCGUAGAUAUCUGGAGGAAUACCGGUGGCGAAGGCGGCGUUCUGGACUGCAACUGACACUGAUGAACGAAAGCCAGGGGAGCAAACGGG